rnacentral:rRNA from 1 species
GUGGGGAAUAUUGGACAAUGGGGGAAACCCUGAUCCAGCCAUGCCGCGUGUGUGAAGAAGGCCUUUUGGUUGUAAAGCACUUUAAGCAGUGAAGAAGACUCUUCGGUUAAUACCCGGAGACGAUGACAUUAGCUGCAGAAUAAGCACCGGCUAACUCUGUGCCAGCAG